UGUGAUUACGUUACACUUUUGUUCUAACAAGUUAUGUUAACAUAUCUUGUCUAAAAAAUUAGUUAUUUUAUUUUAUUUUUUUUUUUCGAUUAUAUUAGUGAUUGAUUAAUCACAUUUCUUACCUUGUUCUUGUUUUAUUUUUGUUUUUUUCUUGACUUGUCUUGUCUUACCUUGCCUUGCCUUGCCAUGUCCUUGCUUUGUUUUAGAUUCAAAGCAAUGAUAAAAAUUGCAAAAUAGUAAUUUUUUUUAUUUUAUUUUUUUAACUUAUUUACGGGUAUAGCACGUUUUGCUAAUAUAUAGGUGUAAACUUCUAUAUGUACAUGUUUAUACAUACAUAUACACGUAUAAGCAUACAAACUGGUACUCACACAAUUUAUUAGUAAAAUAAUAAGCUACACACAUUUUUAGUUAUUACUUAUAUAACAAAAUUAAACUUUCUUUCUUUAGUUUUUUUUUUUAUUUUUUGCCACACGUUACUUGUGACAUUUCAAAAAAAACUACUUUUGUUUGUUUUUUGUUUUUGUUUUUGUUUUUGUUUUUUUUUGUUUUUGUUUUUAUUUUUGUUUUUGUUUUUUUUAUUUUUUGUUGUUUGUUAAGAAUAGCGCUCCAACAUGAGUUUCACAAGUAUUGAUAUAGUAGAAGAAAAACCAGUUGAAUAUAAUGAGUGUAUGGCUACACAAUCAGAUUUAUUGAAAUUAAAUAGCAUUAAUGAAAUAAACGAAGUAGAAUGUAUACCUAAUUUAUUUAUGUCUUUUCAAGAUGACAUAAUUGUGUCAGAAAUAUGUAAAGUGGACUAUAUAAGUUCUGAAAAAAGUAACUUAAAUUUUGAAAAACAUGAAGAAGAAAAAGCAACUAAAACUAAUGAAUUAAAUUUACAAGUGAAUAAUUGCUUAUUAAAAAAUAAUUCUUAUUUUAUUAAUGUAGAAGGUAUGAUUAAUAUAGAAGAACUGAAAACGAAUGAAGAAUUAGAAAAAAAAAGCAAGGUAUAUAAUUUAAGUGAUGAACCAAAUAAUAUCAGUCCCAGCAAAAAUGACAAAAUUAAUAAUGAUAAUAAUAAUAAUAAUAGUAAUAACAAUAAUGGUAAUAAUAAUGCCGAUGAUAGUGCCAAACACAUAAACGAAAAUAAUAGUAAAAAUUUAAAUAAUAUAAUAACAAAGGUAAAUGAUGAAAAUAUUAAAAAUAACAUAGAUUUAAGUUUAAGUGUAAAUAACCACUUAAACGAAUUUAAUAAUUUUUAUUGUUUAUCACCGUUAACAACAGGAAUGUCAUGUGGUAUGGUGUCACACGACGUGGAUAUAGGACGAUCGAUUCAAGUAGGGGAAGAAGAGGAAGAAGAGGAAGAAGUGGAAGAAGAGGAAGAAGAGGAAGAAGAAGAAGAAGAAGUGGAAGAAGAGGAAGAAGUGGAAGAAGAGGAAGAAGUGGAAGAAGAAGAAGAAGUGGAAGAAGAAGAAGAAGUGGAAGAAGAGGAAGAAGAGGAAGAAGAAGAAGUGGAAGAAGAAGUGGAAGAAGAAGGAGAAGAAAAUAUGGCUAGUGAAAAAGAUGUUGGAGAAAGCGAAGCGACUGAAAACGAAACAUUAUACAUAAAUAAUUUUAACUUAACGAAUAAGAUGCAAAGUAAUACUAACACUAACUUGGGUAAUAGUAAUAGUAGUAGUAGUAGUAGUAGUAAUAAAUUUAUACAAAAAUCAUCAGUUUUUAGUAACUACAGUUAUGUAUAUUCAGAUGAACAAGAAAAAAAUAAUACAAAAGUAAAAGAAGAAUCAAAAAAAAUAAAUAAUAAAUAUAAUGAUAAUUUAUUUUUAUUUAAUGAAUUAUUGAAAUAUGAAAAUGAAUUGAUAUAUGGUAGUAAUCAAAACAUUAUAGAUAAAGAAGAACAUGAUAACAUACAUGAAAACAAAACAUCCAAAUCGAUGGCUAAAUACAUAUAUAAUGAAAGUAGAAGUAAUAGUAUAAUUGUUAAUAGUGUUGAUAGUGUUAAGAAAAGUAACAACCGAUACUAUAGUAAUUAUAUAAGUCGUGGUAAUAAUAAUAUUAUGAACAACAAAAUGAAUACAUUAAAAGAAAAGAAUAAUAAAUAUAUGUUAAAUAAUACAAAUGUUAAUAAAAAAAUUACUUUUUUUGAAUAUACGAGUACGAAAGUGAAUGAACAGUAUGAUGACUAUAAUAAAUUAAAUUUGUUGAAGGUGAAAAAAGAUAAACCUCUUCUUUGUUUAAACGUUAGUGGUUAUACGGGAACUGAUAUCACAUGUGAUACUAACAGUGAGUACAUACAUAGCAGUGGUAGAAAUUGUAACUUUAGUAACAAUAAUAAUAAUAAUAAAAAAGAGGACGUAACAAAUAGAAAAUAUAACUAUAUAAAUAAUGUCAGUAAUAUGACACUUGAGUUAAAUGAAAAAAAUGCAACUUCCGAAUCGGAAAAGCAAUCGAAAAAGGAAUCGAAAAAGGAAUCGGAAAAGGAAUCGAAAAAGGAAUCGGAAAAGGAAUCGGAAAAGGAAUCGAAAAAGGAAUCGAAAAAGGAAUCGAAAAAGGAAUCGAAAAAGGAAUCGGAAAAGGAAUCGAAAAAGGAAUCGAAAAAGGAAUCGGAAAACGGGUUCGAUAAGAAAUCAGAAAACGGGUCAGGUGACAAACCUAAUUAUCUUUUACCAAGUGUAGAUAGAAAUAUAACAAUAAAACUGAAUUUAAGAAUCAAAAAAAUAUACUUCGUAAAACAUAAAAAUAUUAAAUGUAUUAUAACUAACAGCUCAGGUGUAGUUGUACAUUCAUUCAUUUAUAAUAAAAAUCCAAUUAAUUUGAAUGAAGAAGAUAAUUUUUUAAAAAUUUAUAAAAAUAAAACAGAUAAUAAUUGUGUUAAAAACGAUGACAUAACGAUUUUACUUAAACAGUUAAAUAAAAUUUGGUUGGAUAAAAUAAAUUUCGAUUUGUUUUUUAGUGCGCCAAUUGUUAAUGGGGAGCCCAAUAUAUCACCAUCCACAUUUUUUAGGCUAAGUUUCUAUGGUGUGGACGCAGUAGAAUCAAAACAAAACGAAAAAAAUGAAGACAAAAAAAAUGAAGACGAAAAAAAUGAAGACAAAAAAAAUGAAGACAAAAAGAACGAACGAAUGAACAAACAGACAGACAUAAAUAUGAAAAAUAAAAAAGUAGAACUAAGUAAAAAUAAGUUAGCUACAACAAAUAGACUAUCUAAAACGAAUAAUUUAACUACCACUAACAAAAAUAAAUUAAUGAAUGUAAAUAAAAGUGUACCCCACAAAAACCGACCAUGUAACAAUAAAUUAAAUACCAUAAAUAAUACGAAAACAAUAACAAGCAAGUCGAUAGAAAGAAACACAUAUAUUGGUUAUAGUAUAAUACAUAUGAAACAAUUAUUUGAAAUCCAAGAAGAAGGAGGAAUACAUUUAAAUAUUUGUGAAAAACAAAGUGAAGAUAUAGAUUUCAUAAAAGAGUAUAACAAAGAAGAUUUAUAUUAUUUGGAUAAUAAACUAAUUGAAAAAAAUGAUUUUAAUAAUUUAAGUUAUGCUGAUAAAAUAGGUAUCAUAUUUAAAAAUUUAUUUCAUCAUAGUUUGAAUAUUACGUCACAAAAAAUAUAUUUGAAGUACUCAUUUAAAAAAGAAAAUAAUAAUUAUAUAAAGGAACCACUUGUCAGUGUACAUACUAACACAUGUACUAAUGCACAUAACAAAAUAAAACUCCAAAAUUUGAUAGAAAUGCUGUCCACAAAUAAACGAGCUAAAGAUUUAAGCGUCAAAAAAGUGUUGGACAUGUAUUUGGAAGAGUAUUAUCAAAGAGGCCUCAAACCAAUUUUUAACAAAAUACAUAACAAUUGUGAUGUUAGUACUAAUGUACAGCGAAAUAUUUCGUUCACUUCCAUACACAGUAACCAAGUCGAACCAUAUNNNNNNNNNNNNNNNNNNNNNNNNNNNNNNNNNNNNNNNNNNNNNNNNNNNNNNNNNNNNNNNNNNNNNNNNNNNNNNNNNNNNNNNNNNNNNNNNNNNNUUAAUUUUGGUAAAACGUACGCUUCGAAUAUUAGUAGUAGUAGUAGUAGUAGUAGUGGUAGUAUUAACUCUGCUCAUAAUAAAAGUGAAAUGGCAUCAAACAAUAUAAAAAAUAAUUUUAUUAAAGGUGAUGAAAGAAAUAAAAAUGAAAUUUAUACAAAAAAUGGUGAUAUCAACCGAUUAGCUUCGGCUUAUUCACUUGGCUCAAAACGAAACGUUUCACUUGAACAAGCAGACGCAUAUAAACAAGAGGACUCAUCUAAACAAGCGCAUGAUAAUUUCUUUAAAACGAAUAAACAAACUGAGUCAAACACAAAGAAUGAAAAAAAGAUAAAAAAAUUAAAAGAAAUAAUACACAAAUAUACAAAUGGUAUAAAUGAUUAUUUUGACUUUAUUGAAUUUAAUAAAAAUAAUAAAUUAUAUAAUAUAUAUGAAGAAAAUAAAAAUAUGAAAAAAAUGAUAAAAGAAUCUAACACUUUUUUUAUUGAUACUUUAAUUGAUAAUUAUUACGCUAUACAAAAACUAAAGCAUAGUAACAAAACAUUAAACAUAUUAUUAAAUAAAGAAAAAGUGAAUAAUGUCAGUGUUAAUGUCAGUGGUAAUGUCAGUGGUAAUGCCAAUGUUGAUGCCAAUGUUGAUGUCAAUGUUAAUACCAAUGCUAAUGCCAAUGUUAAUACCAAUGCUAAUGCCAAUGUUAAUGAUAGUGCUAAAAGUAACAACAAUAUGCACAACAAUAGCAAAAAUAAUGUAGUAAAAAAUGAUAUAGAUAUGACUAUGAUGAUAAAAAAAACAAACAAAAUAAAUGAAAAAAAAAAAAUAAACAUAAAUAAUGAUAUAAUAGAUGGUAGAAAAUAUUUGUUGGAUAAACAAGAGCAAGUAAAAAGAGAUACUACAGAUAAAAUUGAUUUAAAAAAAAAUGAGCAGUGCAACUUGAGCAUUAUUUUUAAUAAUAAAGUAAGUGAAAAUGUAAAAAAAAAUAAAGAUGUAAAUACUUGUUUACAUACCAAAAUAUGUGAAUUAGAUACUAACAAAAAAAACAAAAUAAAUAACGUAACUGCUUCAAAAUGUGUAUCUGUCGUUAGAAAUCAUAAUGAAUAUACAAAAAAUGACAUUUCAAGCAACAUUAGAAGUGGUAGUAGUUACAAUAGUAGUUUUAAUGUCGGUCAUAAUAAUUAUUCACUAACUCCAAAUAAUAAGAAUGACAGUUUUUUAAAUAAGUAUUAUAACCAAUCGGACACGCCAAACAAAUCGGACACGCCAAACAAGUCGAAGAGCUUAUUUACUAAGAACGACUUGAAUAUUAACAGAAACUGUAAUAGUAUAAACGCUGAUAAUUCUUUAAAACCAAAACUAACCAAACAAAAAACAGAACCUUCUUUCGUUAAUUCGUUUGGUUUAUUAAAUAAAAAAAAAAAACAAGACAAAAACGUUAGUAGUAGUAGUAGUAGUAGUAAUGGUAAUAUUAGUAGUAGUAGCUCUAGAAACUGUAGUUCUAAAUUUAGUAGCACUGACAAAAUCGCAGACCAUUACUCACAUAAUAACACACACAGCUACAAAAAUAAUAAAACACUAACUGUAGACGUUCACAAUAUAAAAACGAAAAAAUUUGAUAAAAAUGAUCUUAAUUCUAUUAGAAGGUCAAAAAGUCUGACAAAAACUGGCAUAAAUUUAAUUGAACAAAAAAAAAAAGGACAAACUAUAAGGUCAAAUAAUCUUAACUUUAGAAACGAGUCACUUUUGUUGUCAAAUGAGUUAUAUAAUUCUAACCAAUUUGACCAGCUAGCCAAGUUUGACAGAUUGAAUAACCUUAACUAUCUUGUAGAAUCUAGUCCAUCAUUUACUAAUGAAAGCACAAGAACCAAUAAAAACUACACAACCACUAUUUCACCAGACAGAACCCAAACAAAAGAAAAAACAGAAAAAAUAAAAAACUGUUUUAAUUUACAUAAUGAAAGAUACAUCAAACAAAAUAAUAUUGAUAAUGGUGUCAUAUUAUUUAACGAACAAAAACAACAAAGAGAAAUAAAAAAUAAAGUGGGUACUGCUACGUUUUGUGGUAACACUAGUAGUAUUAUUAACAGUAAUAAAAAAAUGACGAUUUUUAACAGAGGUAACAAACUAAACUUAAAAAAUGUACAUACCGAUGAACUAAUAAAUGAAAAUGACAAAAACGACUUAAUGGCUUGUUAUAAAAAACAAACAAGUGAAAUUGUCGUAAAACAGAAAAAAGACUAUAACUAUAAUACCAGGGAAAUAUUAAAAAAGGAAUGCUUCCAAGGUAGUUACAAGUCAUCUAAAAUUAAAAAUAUAAACGAGCGAGUAAAAACUGACACAUGUAAAAUUAAGAAUAGUGCUGGUAGUUUUACUCGUGUUGGUAGUUUUACUCGUGCUGGUAGUUCCACUCGUGCUGGUAAUUCCACUCGUGCUGGUAGUUCCACUCGUGCUGCUAAUAAUAUCAGUGGCAAUAAACAUAUUGCAUCAUUACAAAAUAAUUAUAUGAACAAAGAAAUAAAUAAAAAAUUAAAAGAUAGUUUGUAUAAAAAAACAAAUAUAGAAAGUAAAAGAAUAAGCACAGAUAACAUUAAUGAUAAACAAAAAUAUAUCGAAAGUUUAAUAUCUUCUUAUAAAGAUAAUUUAUUAAUGCAUGAAAAUAAAAAUACUUCAGAACACGUUCGUAUGAAAAAAAAAAAUAAUAAUAAUAAUAAUAAAAGUGGUCAAGUAGAACAAAGUGGGAUAUCCAAGAUUAAUGUAACAAAUAAUGGUAUCAGCGCCAUCAAAAAAAUAAUCGAUUUAAAUUUAAACAGUGAAACAAAUUUUAUAAAAUACAGUACUAAUAGUAAGAACGAUACACCUGUACAUGUAGCGAUGACUCAAGGAGUAGAUAGCACAAACUGUAAUUCGUCAAAAAUGACAAACAAUAAACACGAUAAAAAAGCUGAAGAUACAUAUAUAUUGGACAUAAUAAAUAAAAAUUUGAAUAGGUCUUACGGUCAGUUAGAUAAAAUCAAAAGAAAGAUGAAUAGGCAUUUGGUAGUAUAAGUUUAACGUUAAAAGUUGGAUUUUAUCAACUUCGUUUUGUCUGGCAUUACUAGUUUGAUAUAUAUAUAUAUAUAUAUAUAUAUAUAUAUAUAUUCUUUUUGUUUGCUGUUUUGUUUAACAUAUUUUUUUUUUUUUAUUUGUUGUUUUGUUUGCCUCUUUGUUUGUUAUUUCUUUUGAUCGCUUAUUUGUUGUUUCAUUUACUUAUUUUUAUAUGCUUUAUUUUUCGUUG
rnacentral:lncRNA from 1 species